AGGCUCCUCCUCAGGCUUGAAGAGAUUUCCAGGAGCGGUGACUCUCAUCUGCUCGAAGAUGAGCCCACUGUGGACCUUCCUCUUCGUGCUGUCAGCUCCCAGCGGGGUCCUGUCCCAGGUGCAGCUGCAGGAGUCGGGACCCAGCCUGGUGAAGCCCUCACAGACCCUCUCCCUCACCUGCGCUGUCUCUGGAUUCUCAUUAAGCAGCUAUGCUGUAGGCUGGGUCCGCCAGGCUCCAGGGAAGGCGCUGGAGUGGGUUGGUGUUAUAUGCAGUGGUGGAAGCACAUACUAUAACCCAGCCCUGAAAUCCCGGCUCAGCAUCACCAGGGACACCUCCAAGAGCCAAGUCUCUCUCUCACUGAGCAGCGUGACACCUGAGGACACGGCCGUGUAUUACUGUUCAAGGGGUGACUGGUACGGUAUAGACGUCUGGGGCCGAGGGAUCCUGGUCACCGUCUCCUCAGCCUCCACCACAGCCCCGAAAGUCUACCCUCUGGGUUCUUGCUGCGGGGACACGUCCAGCUCCACCGUGACCCUGGGCUGCCUGGUCUCCAGCUACAUGCCCGAGCCAGUGACCGUGACCUGGAACUCAGGUGCCCUGACCAGCGGUGUGCGCACCUUCCCGGCCGUCCGGCAGUCCUCCGGGCUCUACUCUCUCAGCAGCAUGGUGACCGUGCCCGCCAGCACCUCAGGAUCCCAGACCUUCACCUGCAACGUAGCCCACCCGGCCAGCAGCACCAAGGUGGACAAGCGUGUUGAGCCCAGAUGUGUGGACCGCUGCAGAGAUUGCCGAUGCCCAGCCCCUGAGCUCCCCGGAGGACCGUCUGUCUUCAUCUUCCCCCCGAAACCCAAGGACACCCUCACAAUCUCUGGAACGCCGGAGGUCACGUGUGUGGUGGUGGACGUGGGCCAGGAUGACCCCGAGGUCAAGUUCUCCUGGUUCGUGAAUGACGUGGAGGUGAACACGGCCAGGACGAAGCCGAGAGAGGAGCAGUUCAACAGCACCUACCGUGUGGUCAGCGCCCUGCCCAUCCAGCACCAGGACUGGACUGGGGGAAAGGAGUUCAAGUGCAAGGUCUACAAUGAAGGCCUCCCAGCCCCCAUCGUGAGAACCAUCUCCAGGACCAAAGGGCAGGCCCUGGAGCCACAGGUGUAUGUCCUGGCCCCACCCCGGGAAGAGCUCAGCAAAAGCACGGUCAGCCUCACCUGCCUGAUCACCGGCUUCUACCCAGACUACAUCGCCGUAGAGUGGCAGAGAAACGGGCAGCCUGAGUCGGAGGGCAAGUACGGCACGACCCAGCCCCAACUGGACGCCGACGGCUCCUACUUCUUGUACAGCAGGCUCAGGGUGAACAGGAGCAGCUGGCUAGAAGGAGACACCUACACGUGUAUAGUGAUGCAUGAGGCUCUGCACAAUCACUUCACACAGAAGUCCAUCUCUAAGUCUCCGGGUAAAUGAGCCACACGUCCCUGCACCAGCAAGCCCUCACCCACCCCACCCCGCCCCGGGCUCCAGGUCCAGCCAGGACCCCCCAGCCCCUCCCUGUGUGCAUUCCUCCUGGGCCGCCGUGAAUAAAGCACCCAGCGCCGCCCUGGGACCCUGCAA